AAAGUCAGUCGGACAGUCGCGCUUGUAAUUGAGUGAGGAAAGUCCGGGCUUUACAGAGCAAGAUGCCAGAUAACGUCUGGGAGGCGUGAGCCUACGGAAAGUGCAACAGAAAAUAUACCGCCUUAUUUUUAGUAAGGUAAGGAUGAAAAGGUGCGGUAAGAGCGCACCGCAUUAGUGGUAACACUCAAUGGCAUUGUAAACCCCAUCUAAAGCAAGACCAAAUAGUGCCACUAUGAUGUUGCUCGCAUCGUGGCAGGGGUAGGUCGCUUGAGCUUACUGGUGACAGUAAGCCUAGAUAAAUGACUGUCUAUUACAGAACCCGGCUUAUAGACUGACUUUGUAU
rnacentral:RNase_P_RNA from 1 species